GAUGAAGAACGUAGCAAAAUGCGAUAAGUAAUGUGAAUUGCAGAAUUCAGUGAAUCAUCGAAUCUUUGAACGCACAUUGCGCCCCUUGGUAUUCCAUGGGGCAUGCCUGUUCGAGCGUCAUUUGUACCUUCAAGCUCUGCUUGGUGUUGGGUGUUUGUCUCGCCUCUGCGUGUAGACUCGCCUCAAAACAAUUGGCAGCCGGCGUAUUGAUUUCGGAGCGCAGUACAUCUCGCGCUUUGCACUCAUAACGACGACGUCCAAAAGUACAUUUUUACACUCUUGACCUCGGAUCAGGUAGGGAUACCCGCUGAUCUUAAGCAUAUCAAUAAGCGGAGGA
rnacentral:misc_RNA from 1 species